rnacentral:rRNA from 1 species
UACGGAGGGCGCAAGCGUUGUUCGGAAUUACUGGGCGUAAAGCGCAUGUAGGCGGCCUGGCAAGUCGGGUGUGAAAUCCCGGAGCUCAACUCCGGAACUGCAUCCGAUACUGCCAGGCUCGAGUCUCGGAGAGGAUGGCGGAAUUUCCGGUGUAGAGGUGAAAUUCGUAGAUAUCGGAAGGAACACCAGUGGCGAAGGCGGCCGUCUGGACGAUGACUGACGCUGAGAUGCGAAAGCGUGGGGAGCAAACAGG